UAUGUAGGUCCCGAGCGUUGUCCGGAUUUAUUGGGCGUAAAGGGGGCGCAGACGGCGAUGCAAGCCAGGAGUGAAAGCCCGGGGCCCAACCCCGGGACUGCUCUUGGAACUGCGUGGCUGGAGUGCAGGAGGGGCAGGCGGAAUUCCUGGUGUAGCGGUGAAAUGCGUAGAUAUCAGGAGGAACACCGGUGGCGAAGGCGGCCUGCUGGACUGCAACUGACGUUGAGGCCCGAAAGCGUGGGGAGCAAACAGG
rnacentral:rRNA from 1 species